UACGAAGGGGGCGAGCGUUGUUCGGAAUUACUGGGCGUAAAGGGCGCGUAGGCGGCAACUCAAGUCAUCUGUGAAAUCUCCGGGCUUAACCCGGAACGGUCAGGUGAUACUGUUUUGCUAGAGUGCGGAAGGGGCAAUCGGAAUUCUCGGUGUAGCGGUGAAAUGCGUAGAUAUCGAGAGGAACACCAGAGGUGAAGACGGGUUGCUGGGCCGACACUGACGCUGACAGCGCGAAAGCCAGGGGAGCAAACGGG
rnacentral:rRNA from 1 species